GACGGGGGGGGCAAGUGUUCUUCGGAAUGACUGGGCGUAAAGGGCACGUAGGCGGUGAAUCGGGUUGAAAGUGAAAGUCGCCAAAAAGUGGCGGAAUGCUCUCGAAACCAAUUCACUUGAGUGUUGCAGGGGAGACUGGAAUUCCUGGUGUAGCGGUGAAAUGCGCAGAUAUCAGGAGGAACACCGGUGGCGAAGGCGGGUCUCUGGGCAACAACUGACGCUGGAGGAAGCGAAAGCGUGGGGAGCGAACAGG
rnacentral:rRNA from 1 species